AUACGUAGGGAGCGAGCGUUGUCCGGAUUUACUGGGUGUAAAGGGUGCGUAGGCGGGACUGCAAGUCAGACGUGAAAUACCGAGGCUUAACCUCGGGGCUGCGUUUGAAACUGUAGUUCUUGAGUGAAGUAGAGGCAGGCGGAAUUCCUAGUGUAGCGGUGAAAUGCGUGGAUAUUCGGAGGAACACCAGUGGCGAAGGCGGCUUACUGGUCCAUUACUGACGCUGAGGUGUGAAAGCGUGGGGAGC
rnacentral:rRNA from 1 species